CGGACCGGCGCACGGGUGAGUAACACGUAUCCAACCUGCCGAUAACUCGGGGAUAGCCUUUCGAAAGAAAGAUUAAUAUCCGAUAGCAUAUCAAGAUCGCAUGAUCUUGAUAUUAAAGAAUUUCGGUUAUCGAUGGGGAUGCGUUCCAUUAGUUAGUUGGCGGGGUAACGGCCCACCAAGACGACGAUGGAUAGGGGUUCUGAGAGGAAGGUCCCCCACAUUGGAACUGAGACACGGUCCAAACUCCUACGGGAGGCAGCAG
rnacentral:rRNA from 1 species